GUAGGUGAACCUGCGGAAGGAUCAUUACUUCAAGUGCGUAUCCCUCGCGGACUCGACAUCUUGAUUCCACCCAUCUGUGCUCUUUUUCUUUUUUCCACUCCGCACUCUUAUCUUUUUAACAUUAACUGACCGUUUUGGCUGUGGUGUCCUUGACGAGUGUGUGUGCAGUCUCUGCAUCGCCCACUCUCUCUCGGUUCCCCUGUCAUCUGUGUGCGUCCCUCGUGGGCAAACACUUAUACAACUGCCGUGCCUAGCUGUGAGCACACCUUGUGUGUGUUCGCUGUCUGGACACUGGCGCGAGAACAACUCCUAACAAUGGAUAUCUCGGCUCUC
rnacentral:misc_RNA from 1 species